UACGUAGGUGGCAAGCGCUGUCCGGAAUUAUUGGGCGUAAAGCGCGCGCAGGCGGUCCUUUAAGUCUGCUGUGAAAGCCCACGGCUCAACCGUGGAGGGUCAUUGGAAACUGGGGGACUUGAGUGCAGAAGAGGAGAGUGGAAUUCCACGUGUAGCGGUGAAAUACGUAGAGAUGUGGAGGAACACCAGUGGCGAAGGCGACUCUCUGGUCUGUAACUGACGCUGAGGCGCGAAAGCGUGGGGAGCAAACAGG
rnacentral:rRNA from 1 species